UCAAACUGUUGAUAAUAAUAUUAACAACACCCCUCCUCCUACUCUAGAAGUCCCACCCCUUCCAACCAUUGAUGGUGAACCCCACAAAGCAGAACCACCUCUUCCUACUCUGGAGAUCACCUUGCUUCAAACUGUUGAUAAUAAUAUUAACAACACCCCUUCUCCUACUCUAGAAGUCCCACCCCUUCCAACCAUUGAUGCUGAAGCCCACAAAAUAGAACCACCUCUUCCUACUCUGGAGAUCACCUUGCCUCAAACUGUUGAUAAUAAUAUUAACAACACCCCUCCUCCUACUCUAGAAGUCCCACCCCUUCCAACCAUUGAUGCUGAAGCCUACAAAACAGAACCAGCUCUUCCUACUCUGGAGAUCACCUUGCCUCAAACUGUUGAUAAUAAUAUUAACAACACCCCUCUUCCUCCUCUAGAAGUCCCACCCCUUCCAACCAUUGAUGGUGAACCCCAC
rnacentral:lncRNA from 1 species